rnacentral:tRNA from 1 species
GGGGAUAUAGCUCAGUUGGUAGAGUGUAUGCCUCACAUGCACAGUCCUGAGUUCAAUCCCCAGUACCACA